UUGGAUAGUGCGUUUUGGAUGUC
rnacentral:miRNA from 1 species